rnacentral:rRNA from 1 species
UACGAAGGGGGCUAGCGUUGUUCGGAAUCACUGGGCGUAAAGCGCACGCAGGCGGAUUGAUAAGUCAGGGGUGAAAUCCCGAGGCUCAACCUCGGAAUUGCCUUUGAUACUGUCUAUCUUCGAGUUCGGGAGAGGUUGGCGGAAUUCCUAGUGUAGAGGUGAAAUUCGUAGAUAUUAGGAAGAACACCAGUGGCGAAGACGGCCAACUGGCCCCGAUACUGACGCUCAUGUGCGAAAGCGUGGGGAGCAAACAGGAAUUAG